CCUACGGGAGGCAGCAGUGGGGGAUAUUGCACAAUGGGGGGAACCCUGAUGCAGCGACGCCGCGUGGGUGAAGGAGCGCCUCGGCGCGUAAAGCCCUGUCAGCAGGGAAGAAAAUGACGGUAACUGAAGAAGAAGCCCCGGCUAACUACGUGCCAGCAGCCGCGGUAAUACGUAGGGGGCAAGCGUUAUCCGGAUUUACUGGGUGUAAGGGGGGCGCAGACGGCGAUGCAAGCCAGGAGUGAAAGCCCGGGGCCCAACCCCGGGACGGCUCUUGGAACUGCGUGGCUGGAGUGCAGGAGGGGGAGGCGGAAUUCCUGGUGUAGCGGUGAAAUGCGUAGAUAUCAGGAGGAACACCGGUGGCGAAGGCGGCCUGCUGGACUGCAACUGACGUUGAGGCCCGAAAGCGUGGGGAGCAAACAGGAUUAGAUACCCUGGUAGUC
rnacentral:rRNA from 1 species